rnacentral:rRNA from 1 species
GACGAACGCUGGCGGCGUGCUUAACACAUGCAAGUCGAACGGAAAGGCUCCAGCUUGCUGGAGUACUCGAGUGGCGAACGGGUGAGUAACACGUGGGUAAUCUGCCCUGCACUCUGGGAUAAGCCUGGGAAACUGGGUCUAAUACUGGAUAUGACCUUUCUCCUUAUGGGGUUUGGUGGAAAGUGUUUCGGUGUAGGAUGAGCCCGCGGCCUAUCAGCUUGUUGGUGGGGUGAUGGCCUACCAAGGCGACGACGGGUAGCCGGCCUGAGAGGGUGGUCGGCCACAUUGGGACUGAGAUACGGCCCAGACUCCUACGGGAGGCAGCAGUGGGGAAUAUUGCACAAUGGGCGGAAGCCUGAUGCAGCGACGCCGCGUGAGGGAUGACGGCCUUCGGGUUGUAAACCUCUUUCAGCAGGGACGAAGCGUAAGUGACGGUACCUGCAGAAGAAGCACCGGCUAACUAUGUG